rnacentral:lncRNA from 1 species
CUGGGAUUACAGGCGUGAGCCACCACGCCCGGCCUUACCCUUAUCUUUUAAAAAACCAUCCACAAUUUAGGACAGAGCCUUAUCCUCUGUUACAAAACAUGUUUAGAGUCAGACUACAACAACGAGGCAUAGUGUCUGCACAGCAUUAUUUUAAUGCAAGAAAACAAAGCUGCCAACUAUAAGGAUCUGAAAAAUGUGACCACUUCAGGCUUAUUUUAGACUGAACCACUCCCCUUCCCUAAUUAUCCCUCAAAGGAAAUACAUCAGGCACUGUGGGCAAAGAGGGAAACAUGUCUAAUUACAACAUGUGCACUUGGUGGACGAAGAAUUUGAACAUUCUUGAACUCUGGCCACAUUUCAGAAGACUUUCCACUUGUAGUUUAAUUUCCCUGAAGAGAAAAGUUUAAAGAUCAGUUGCACUUCAACCAGGGUUCUAUCAAAAAAAGACAUAAAGAAUACCCGACAAGCAUAGGCAACCAAAGCAAAAAUGGACAAAUGGGAUCACAUCAAGUUAAAAAGCUUCCUCACAGCAAAGGAAACUAUCAACAAAAUGAAGAGAUAACCCACUGAAUGAGAGAAAAUAUUUACAAACCAUCUAUCUGACAGGGGAUAACAAGAAUAUGUAAGAAGCUCAAACAACUCAAUAGGAAAAAAUCUAAUAAUCCACCUAAAAAUGGAGACAAGAUCUGAAAGACAUUUCUCAAAAGAAGAUAUACAAAUGGCAAAAAAAGGUACAUGAAAACGUGCUUAACAUCAUUGAUCACCAGAGAAAUACAAAUCAAAACUACAAUGAGUGCUCGCUUCAGCAUCACAUAUACUAAAAUUGGAAGGACACAGAGAAGAUUAGCAUGGCCCCUGCGCAAGGAUGACAUGCAAAUUCGUGAAGCGUUUCAUAUUUUUAACAAACCCUUAAAUGUUAAAAAAAAAAAGUAUGAGAUAUCAUCUCAUCCCAGUUAAAAUGGCUUAUAUCCAAAAAAGAUAAGCAAUAACAAAUGCUAGUAAGGAUGUGGAGAGAAGGGAACCUUCAUACGCUGUUGGUGGGAACGUAAAUCAAUACAACCACUGUGGAGAACAGUACGGAGGUUCCUCAAAAACUAAAAAUAGAGCCACCAUAUGAUCCGGCAAGCCCACUGCUAGGUAUACACCCAAAAGAAAGGAAAUCAGGGCCAGGCACGGUGGCUUACGCCUACAAUCCCAGCACUUUGGGAGGCUGAGGCAGGAGGAUUGCUUGAGCCCAGGAGUUUGAGAGCAGCCUGGGCAAAGACAGCAAGACAUCACCUCUACUAAAAAUUUUAAAAUUAGCCAGGUGCUCUGGCAUGCACCUGUAGUCCCAGCUACUUGGGAAAAUGGCUUGAGUACAGGAGGUGGAGGCUACAGUGAGCUGUGAUCACGCCACUGUACUUCAACCUAAGCGACAAAGCAAGAUCCUGUCUCUAAAAAAGGAAGAAAGGAAAUCAGUACAUGGAAGAGAAAUCUGCACUCCCAUGUUUAUUACAACACUAUUCACCACAGCCAAGAUUUGGAAGCAACCAAAGUGUCCAUCAUCAACAAAUGAAUAGAUAAAGAAAAUGUGGUACAUACACACGAGUACUAUUCAGCCAUAAAAAAGAAUAAGAUCCUGUCAUUUGUAACAAUGAACAGAACUGGAGGUCAUUAUGUUAAGUGAACUACGCCAGGCGCAGAAAGACAAACUUUGCACGUCCUCACUUAUUUGUGGGAGCUAAAAAUUAAAACAUUUGAACUCAUGGAGACAGAAUGAUGGUUACCAAAAGCUGGGAAGGGUAGCAGGGGAAAGGGAAGUGGGGAUGUUUAAUGGGUACAAAAACACAGUUAGAAUAAGAUCUAGUAAGUGAUAGCACAACAGGGUGACUACAGUCAACAAUAAUUGUAUAUUUUAUAAUAACUUAAAGAGUAUAAUUGGAUAGUGUGUAACACAAAGGAAGGAUAAAUGCUUGCAGUGAUGGAUACCCCAUUCAUGCAUUGUAUGCCUGUAUCCAA